AUUGAACGCUGGCGGCAGGCCUAACACAUGCAAGUCGAACGAGUGGCGGACGGGCGAGCAAUGUCUGGGAAACUGCCUGACGGAGGGGGCUAACUACGGGAACCGGUAGCUAAUACCGCAUAACAUGAGUUGUGCCCAGAUGGGAGUAGCUAGUUGGUGGGGUAACGGCUCACCAAGGCGACGAGCCCUAGCUGGUCUGAGAGGAUGACCAGCCACACUGGAACUGAGACACGGUCCAGACUCCUACGGGAGGCAGCAGUGGGGAAUAUUGCACAAUGGGCGCAAGCCUGAUGGAGCCAUGCCGCGUGUAUGAAGAAGGCCUUCGGGUUGUAAAGUACUUUCAGCGGGGAGGCGGUACCCGCAGAAGAAGCACCGGCUAACUCCGUGCCAGCAGCCGCGGUAAUAC
rnacentral:rRNA from 1 species